GGCUCAUUGGUCUAGUGGUAUGAUUCUUGCUUUGGGUGUAAGGGGCGGGGUUCAAAUCAAAAUCAAGGGUUCAAAUCCCGGAUGAGCUC
rnacentral:tRNA from 1 species